UUUCUCUCCCUCUCUCUCUCUCUCUCUCUCUCUCUCUCACACACACACACACACACACACAGAGAGAGAGAGAGAGAGAGGGAGAGAGAGAGAGAGAGAGAGAGAAA